AGGUAGUAGAUUGAAUAGUUGUGGAGACCUGUGCUCUCUCACUGAGAUAACUAUACAAUCUACUGUCUUUCCUAAGGCGACAGCCAAAUCAUCCACAAACAACAUGGACUCAUUUGAAAAAGUGUCUGCAUUCCUCCAUUGAGUUGGAAAGGAUAUUCCCUCACAUUACAGAAGUAAAAUGGGCUGGGAUUGACGUGUCACGUUGACAUCAUACAUACGCAAGCGUGUCAGGCGAUGGGACUGUCCUUUGGUGUCCUGACAGGGUGAGGUAGUAGGUUGUAUAGUUUGGUGGGAGGGAUCAAACCCUGUUCAGGUGAUAACUAUACAGUCUAUUGCCUUCCUUGUUGUACCAGCUAUCUGUCUGCUAGUGGAAAUUCCCUGGAGUUUAAAUAUUGCUUAAACCCUAUGCCUGCUUCACACCACAUGAACUUUGAAUAUAACACAAUACAUGCAUAAUACAUUUUAUACAACAAUGGCAUGUCAAUACUGUGAAGCUAAUUCAAGCAAAACUCUUCCAUCAACACUCUCUAAUAAGGACGACUAGCAGUUUUAAAGCUUGUGGCGCCCUCCAGUUGUCAUACAGCUUCACGGCUCCUGAAGACUGAAGCUUUUUAGAAGCUUUUCAUAUGGAUAUUGUAGGAUAUCUACAGUAUCAGUUUCCAACAUACCGUCACUAAAAGAUCCAUUCAGAAUUGUAUUACAGUGAAAUUAUGAUUGUAGUUUUUCUGCCUGAUUCAUGUGCCAGUGUUAGAGGGUAAUGUAAUUUGAUGGCCAGUAUUAGGUUAUCUAGGCUGGGAUCUCCAUGAGGAACUUGAGAAGUCUCUUUGUCCUCUCCAGCACCGUACAUACAGGGCCGUUUUAACCAUAGGGCUAGGCGGGGCUGAAGCCCCGGGGCCCGAGCAAGGAGGGGGCCCGUGAUUGGCUGUGGAGUAGAUUGACUGGAGAGCCGAUCGCCAAAGCCACCACGCCCCCCAUUUAUUAGCGCUGUUAUUUAGUUGAGCUUUUCCGAAAAUGCCAUGCAUUACCAUUUGAGAUUGAAACGUAAGUCUGAAUUUGGUUUACCAAUCAAAUGCAUUUAUUCUAUA
rnacentral:lncRNA from 1 species